rnacentral:misc_RNA from 1 species
AAGUCGUAACAAGGUAACCGUAGGUGAACCUGCGGUUGGAUCAUUAAUAAAAUCUUUUUAAUUGUUGAGAUAAAAUAAAAAAUUAAUUUUUUAUUUUAUUCUCUUCAAACAUUAUGUGAACUAAAUUUUUUUUGGUAGGGUUUGAAGGAUAAUUUUAUUUUGUCUUACUUACCAAAAAAAAUUUUUUUAAACUUUAUAUAUUUAUUUUAAAUAUUUUUUGUCUUUAAAUUAAUUAAUUUUAAAUUUUCUUAAAAUUAAAAAUAUAUAAUUUAAAACAACUUUUGACAACGGAUCUCUAGGCUCUCA